CUACGGGCGGCAGCAGUGGGGAAUAUUGCACAAUGGACGAAAGUCUGAUGCAGCAACGCCGCGUGGAGGAUGACACAUUUCGGUGCGUAAACUCCUUUUAUAUAGGAAGAUAAUGACGGUACUAUAUGAAUAAGCGCCGGCUAACUCCGUGCCAGCAGCCGCGGUAAUACGGAGGGCGCAAGCGUUACUCGGAAUCACUGGGCGUAAAGAGCGUGUAGGCGGAUAGAUAAGUCAGGAGUGAAAUCCUAUGGCUCAACCAUAGAACUGCUCUUGAAACUGUCUAUCUAGAAUAUGGGAGAGGUAGAUGGAAUUUCUGGUGUAGGGGUAAGAUCCGUAGAGAUCAGAAGGAAUACCGAUUGCGAAGGCGAUCUACUGGAACAUUAUUGACGCUGAGACGCGAAAGCGUGGGGAGCAAACAGGAUUAGAUACCCUGGUAGUC
rnacentral:rRNA from 1 species